rnacentral:rRNA from 1 species
GUGUCAGCAGCCGCGGUAAUACGUAGGGUGCGAGCGUUAAUCGGAAUUACUGGGCGUAAAGCGUGCGCAGGCGGUUGUGUAAGACAGGUGUGAAAUCCCCGGGCUUAACCUGGGAACUGCGCUUGUGACUGCACGGCUAGAGUAUGGCAGAGGGGGGUGGAAUUCCACGUGUAGCAGUGAAAUGCGUAGAGAUGUGGAGGAACACCGAUGGCGAAGGCAGCCCCCUGGGCCAAUACUGACGCUCAUGCACGAAAGCGUGGGGAGCAAACAGGAUUAGAUACCCUGGUAGUCCACGCCCUAAACGAUGUCGACUAGGUGUUCGGUGAGGAGACUCAUUGAGUACCGCAGCUAACGCGUGAAGUCGACCGCCUGGGGAGUACGGUCGCAAGAUUAAA